UAGAGAAAAAAAAAGCAGAAAAAGUCUAAAUUAUAUUUGAAUAAUCUGCUCUCUGGAUGUCCAAUUCCAGACAAUGAGGACCACUUGAUUUUCAAAGACAUAUAAGGAAGAUGUCUACACCCUCUCUUUAUCACCACUUCCAUCAACUAACAACCCAUAUUGCAGGAAGUUUGACAUGAAUGCUUGUGGUAACAGAUGAUUAACACCAUGUUUUACUUCCAAAAAAAAGAGUCUGAUGUUAUCACCUUGUCUUUUCUUGAAGGACUAAGAUUUAUUCUGUCUUUUUACAGUGAAAUAAUAAUAGAAU
rnacentral:lncRNA from 1 species